rfam:Stegodyphus mimosarum contig29809, whole genome shotgun sequence.
GUCUUCGUGGUGUAGUGGAUGAUCAGCACACUGAGCCGGUAUUUCAGAGGUCCGUGGUUCGAUUCCCGGCGAAGGCC